AGGGUAACGGCCCACCAAGGCGACGAUCAGUAGCCGGUCUGAGAGGAUGAACGGCCACACUGGAACUGAGACACGGUCCAGACUCCUACGGGAGGCAGCAUG
rnacentral:rRNA from 1 species